rnacentral:rRNA from 1 species
UGGCGGACGGGUGAGUAAUGUCUGGGAAACUGCCUGAUGGAGGGGGAUAACUACUGGAAGCGGUAGCUAAUACCGCAUAACGUCGCAAGACCAAAGAGGGGGACCUUCGGGCCUCUUGCCAUCGGAUGUGCCCAGAUGGGAUUAGCUAGUAGGUGGGGUAACGGCUCACCUAGGCGACGAUCCCUAGCUGGUCUGAGAGGAUGACCAGCCACACUGGAACUGAGACACGGUCCAGACUCCUACGGGAGGCAGCAGUA